rnacentral:rRNA from 1 species
CUACGGGAGGCAGCAGUGGGGAAUAUUGGACAAUGGGCGAAAGCCUGAUCCAGCCAUGCCGCGUGUGUGAAGAAGGCCUUUUGGUUGUAAAGCACUUUAAGCGAGGAGGAGGCUACUUAGAUUAAUACUCUAGGAUAGUGGACGUUACUCGCAGAAUAAGCACCGGCUAACUCUGUGCCAGCAGCCGCGGUAAUACAGAGGGUGCGAGCGUUAAUCGGAUUUACUGGGCGUAAAGCGUGCGUAGGCGGCUUCUUAAGUCGGAUGUGAAAUCCCUGAGCUUAACUUAGGAAUUGCAUUCGAUACUGGGAAGCUAGAGUAUAGGAGAGGAUGGUAGAAUUCCAGGUGUAGCGGUGAAAUGCGUAGAGAUCUGGAGGAAUACCGAUGGCGAAGGCAGCCAUCUGGCCUAAUACUGACGCUGAGGUACGAAAGCAUGGGGAGCAAACAGGAUUAGAAACCCUUGUAGUCCC